AGAGAGCAACUCAUCCUGAAAUUCCACUACAGUGAGAGAACAAGGGGCUGGUCCUAGAAGACACCGGACCAGUGAGGAUGCACCCGUGGUCUUUACCCUGCUCCGGAGUCCACGUCUGCCCCAGGCCGUCUUUGAAUUCUCAGCAGAGGAUCAUCAAGAGAAAAGCCACUAGAGAGCGUUCUGAAUCAGAGGCAUCUUGCUAAAAUACUCCAUGGAUAAGGACUCGUCUCCUAUUAAACACCGUUAAUCAG